rnacentral:rRNA from 1 species
GACGAACGCUGGCGGUGUGCUUAACACAUGCAAGUCGAACGGAAAGGCCCUGCUUUCUUGGGGUUCCCGAGUGGCGGUUGGGUGAGUAACAGGUGAGUAACCUGCUCUUGACUUUGGGAUAACUUCAGGAAAGUGGGGCUAAUAUCGUAUAGGAUCCCCUGCUGCAUGGAGGGGGUUGGAACUUUUCGGCUGUCGGGGCUGGACGCGCGGCUGAUCAGCUAGUUGGUUGGGGAGUGGCUUACCAAGGCUUUGGCCGGUACGCGGCCUGUGAGGGUGACCGGCGUCAUUGGGACUGCGAUACGGCCCAGACUCCUACGGGAGGCAGCAGUGGCAAAUAUUGCACAAUGGGCGGAAGCCUGAUGAAGCAACGCCGCGUGCGGGAUGACGGCCUUCGGGUUGUGAAACGCAUUCGCCUGUGACGAAGCGUGAGUGACGGUAAUGAGUGAAGAAGCACCGGCUAACUACGUG